GGCAGAGUGGUUUGAGUGUUUGACUAUGACUCUGGACUAUGAUUCUGGGGACCAGGGUUCAAUUCCCAGCUCAGCCA